CCUACGGGGGGCUGCAGUGGGGAAUAUUGCACAAUGGACGAAAGUCUGAUGCAGCAACGCCGCGUGGAGGAUGACACAUUUCGGUGCGUAAACUCCUUUUAUAUGUCAAGAUAAUGACGGUAGCCUAUGAAUAAGCGCCGGCUAACUCCGUGCCAGCAGCCGCGGUAAUACGGAGGGCGCAAGCGUUACUCGGAAUCACUGGGCGUAAAGAGCGUGUAGGCGGACUAAUAAGUCAGAAGUGAAAUCCAAUAGCUUAACUAUUGAACUGCUUUUGAAACUGUUUGUCUAGAGUGUGGGAGAGGUAGAUGGAAUUUCUGGUGUAGGGGUAAAAUCCGUAGAUAUCAGAAGGAAUACCGAUUGCGAAGGCGAUCUACUGGAACAUAACUGACGCUGAGACGCGAAAGCGUGGGGAGCAAACAGGCUUAGAUACCCCUGUAGUC
rnacentral:rRNA from 1 species